rnacentral:misc_RNA from 1 species
GAAAUGCGAUAAGUAAUGUGAAUUGCAGAAUUCCGUGAAUCAUCGAAUCUUUGAACGCACAUUGCGCCCUCUGGUAUUCCGGGGGGCAUGCCUGUCCGAGCGUCAUUGCGAACCCCUCAAGCACGGCUUGUGUGAUGGGCCCUCCCGCGUCUUGGUCGUCAAGACGGGCCCGAAAUGCAGUGGCGGCUUCGCGGUUAUCCGAUCAGCCAGAGCGUAUGGGGACUUUCUCUCUGUCACACGCCCGCGGGGCGGACCGACGCCUGUCGACCUUCAUUCAUCGUUUUCUCGGUUGACCUCGGAUCAGGUAGGGAUACCCGCUGAACUUAAGC